CGUCUAUAUACGUAUAGCAUAUCAAUAAGCGGAGGAAAAGAAACUAACAAGGAUUCCCUUAGUAACGGGCGAGUGAAGCGGGAAGAGCUCAAAUUUGAAAUCUUCAAGGUUUUACCUUGACGAAUUGUAGUUUAAAGAAGUGUUUUCUGUUGAAGUUUUGGUAAAAGUUCUUUGGAAUAGGACAUCAUAGAGGGUGAGAAUCCCGUAUUUGACCAUUAUUUUCAGCUGUGUGAUACACUCUCAAAGAGUCGGAUUGUUUGGGAAUGCAGUCCAAAAUGGGUGGUAAAUUUCAUCUAAAGCUAAAUAUUGGCGAGAGACCGAUAGCGAACAAGUACCGUGAGGGAAAGAUGAAAAGAACUUUGAAAAGAGAGUUAAACAGUACGUGAAAUUGUCAAAAGGGAAGCGUUUGACACCAGUGUUGUUUUUCCGAAAAUCAAUUAAGAGUGGCUUGAUUUUGUGUUGUAUUGACCUUAUCAGCUUUCUUCACUCUUUUUCGAGUCUUUCUUAAUGCACUUUUCGGUUAACAAGUCAACAUCAAUUUCUUUUGUUGUAAAAGGGUAUUUGGAAGGUGGCUUUCUUUUCGGAGAAAGUGUUUAUAGCCUUAUACCUCUACAAUCGGAGAGAUUGAGGUCUGCAGCGUAGAUCCUUCGGGGCUAGAUACACUUGUGCUAAGUUAUAGCUUUUCAUAGACAACUUGUUGACUAUGUUUAGUCAUGUAGCUUACCCGCUUAGUGCUAUUUUACCUACGCUUAGGAUGUUGAGUCAUCACACAUCUCU
rnacentral:rRNA from 1 species